UACGGAGGGGGCUACACGUUAUCCGGAUUCACUGGGUUUAAAGGGUGCGUAGGUGGGCAGGUAAGUCAGUGGUGAAAUCUCCGGGCUUAACCCGGAAACUGCCAUUGAUACUAUCUGUCUUGAAUACCGUGGAGGUGAGCGGAAUAUGUCAUGUAGCGGUGAAAUGCUUAGAUAUGACAUAGAACACCAAUUGCGAAGGCAGCUCACUACACGAAUAUUGACACUGAGGCACGAAAGCGUGGGGAUCAAACAGG
rnacentral:rRNA from 1 species